GGCCUAACACAUGCAAGUCGAGCGGUAGCGGGCCUGACCACUCUCGAGUGGUUCAGGCGCCGACGAGCGGCGGACGGGUGCGUAACACGUAGGAAUCUGCCCGGUAGUGGGGGAUAGCCCGGAGAAAUUCGGAUUAAUACCGCAUACGCCCUAAGGGGGAAAGCAGGGGAUCGGUUCGCCGACCUUGCGCUAUCGGAUGAGCCUGCGUCGGAUUAGCUAGUUGGUGGGGUAAAGGCCUACCAAGGCGACGAUCCGUAGCUGGUCUGAGAGGAUGAUCAGCCACACUGGGACUGAGACACGGCCCAGACUCCUACGGGAGGCAGCAGUGGGGAAUAUUGCACAAUGGGCGAAAGCCUGAUGCAGCCAUGCCGCGUGUGUGAAGAAGGCCCUAGGGUUGUAAAGCACUUUCAGUGGGGAGGAAAGGUCGAAGGUUAAUACCCUUUGGCUGUGACGUUACCCACAGAAGAAGCACCGGCUAACUCCGUGCCAGCAGCCGCGGUAAUACGGAGGGUGCGAGCGUUAAUCGGAAUUACUGGGCGUAAAGCGUGCGUAGGCGGCCAUUUAAGUUGGAUGUGAAAGCCCCGGGCUCAACCUGGGAACUGCAUCCAAAACUGGGUGGCUUGAGUGCGAGAGAGGAGUGUGGAAUUUCCUGUGUAGCGGUGAAAUGCGUAGAUAUAGGAAGGAACACCAGUGGCGAAGGCGACACUCUGGCUUGACACUGACGCUGAGGUACGAAAGCGUGGGGAGCAAACAGGAUUAGAUACCCUGGUAGUCCACGCCGUAAACGAUGUCUACUAGUUGUCGGUGGUCUUGUACUGCUGGUAACGCAGCUAACGCGAUAAGUAGACCGCCUGGGGAGUACG
rnacentral:rRNA from 1 species